rnacentral:lncRNA from 1 species
GAAGCAGCCAAUAAGAAUUCCCAGCCUGAGAGGACCUUGGAACCAGAAGGAAUUGGAGGAGAUUUAAACAAGCUGACCCAAGGAAAGCACAAGAUCUUUCUAUGCAUUGAAGAUCACCAAAUCAAAGAUAAAAGUGCUCGACCAUUAUGGCCUAUGGCAAACUCGGGCUGGCUGAAGCAUCCUUCUCUUCCAUUUAGAACCCUGGUGAGGCCCCUUAGACCACCACUGGGCUGUCCUCCUCCCUCCUCAGAGACAGAGUUCUGGGCUGGGCCAUGGAGGUGUCUGUCAACACGGCAGUAGUCCUCGUUCUAUGGAAAACCAGCUGUUCCCUGUGACACGACUCCAUUCCCGCAGCUGCCUGCUAUUCAGCUGGGCUGACGGACAGCAGAGCACAGGGUUGGAAGACCACCCUCUCAGACAGUCAUUUAGUCUAAAAUGAUUUCCUUACGAAAGCAUAGAAGGUGUAUCCUGGAUAUGAGACAAAGCAAAUUUAAACUCCAAAGGCUGAGCUCUGCUGCUCCCUAUGGAGGAGGAAUCUCUGCUGAGACUUGAUGGAGCAGAAUCAUCAUGCAUCCAGACUGGCAGUCCCUGAAGUGAGUGGCUCUGGAGCAAGUUGUGGAGUAAGACAAACUUAGGGUCUUGGAGGAAUGGGUCAAAGGUCACAAGCCUGAUCUUUGCAUGCCAGGCUCUGUGGCUGCCUAUGUGUGGGGACAGCCAAAGGCAGCCCAGAAA